rnacentral:rRNA from 1 species
AAUGAACGUUGGCGGCGUGGAUUAGGCAUGCGAGUCGCGCGAGAAUGUAGCAAUACAGGAAAGCGGCGAAAGGGAGAGGACAACAUGGGAAUCUGCCCGGGGACGAGGAUAGCGUCGGAAACUGACGGUAAUACUCGAUAAUGUUUGCGGACCAAAGGUGAGAUUCCGCCCCUGGAUGAGCCCAUGCCCCAUUAGCUUGUUGGCGGUGUAAUAGACCACCAAGGCGAUGAUGGGUAGCUGGUGUGAGAGCACGACCAGCCUCACUGGCACUGAGACACUGGCCAGAUACCUACGGGUGGCUGCAGUCGAGAAUCUUCGGCAAUGGACGAAAGUCUGACCGAGCGACGCCGCGUGCGGGACGAAGGCCUUCGG